rnacentral:rRNA from 1 species
GAGAGUGGGUAGUCCGUACGAGCGCACCUUGUCCUUAGUUGCCAGCACAUAAUGGUGGGAACUCUAAGGAGACUGCCGGUGACAAACCGGAGGAAGGUGGGGACGACGUCAAGUCAUCAUGGCCCUUACGACCUGGGCUACACACGUGCUACAAUGGCCAGUACAGAGGGCUGCAAGCCCGCGAGGGGGAGCCAAUCCCACAAAGCUGGUCGUAGUCCGGAUCGCAGUCUGCAACUCGACUGCGUGAAGUUGGAAUCGCUAGUAAUCGUGAAUCAGAAUGUCACGGUGAAUACGUUCCCGGGCCUUGUACACACCGCCCGUCACACCAUGGGAGUAGGUUGCAAAAGAAGUAGCUAGGCUAACCUUCGGGAGGCCGGUUACCACUUUGUGAUUUAUGACUGGGGUGAAGUCGUAACAAGGUAGCCCUAGGGGAACCUGGGGCUGGAUCACCUCCUU